ACUAACAGUGAAAUGCUUCAUAAGCAACAGGUGUAGACUAACAGUGAGAUGCUUCAUAAGCAACAGGUGUCGACUAACAGUGAGAUGCUUCAUAAGCAACAGGUGUAGACUAACAGUGAGAUGCUUCAUAAGCAACAGGUGUAGACUAACAGUGAAAUGCUUCAUAAGCAACAGGUGUAGACUAACAGUGAAAUGCUUCAUAAGCAACAGGUGUAGACUAACAGUGAAAUGCUUCAUAAACAACAGGUGUAGACUAACAGUGAAAUGCUUCAUAAACAACAGGUGUAGACUAACAGUGAAAUGCUUCAUAAGCAACAGGUGUAGACUAACAGUGAAAUGCUUCAUAAACAACAGGUGUAGACUAACAGUGAAAUGCUUCAUAAGCAACAGGUGUAGACUAACAGUGAAAUGCUUCAUAAACAACAGGUGUAGACUAACAGUGAAAUGCUUCAUAAGCAACAGGUGUAGACUAACAGUGAAAUGCUUCAUAAACAACAGGUGUAGACUAACAGUGAAAUGCUUCAUAAGCAACAGGUGUAGACUAACAGUGAAAUGCUUCAUAAACAACAGGUGUAGACUAACAGUGAAAUGCUUCAUAAACAACAGGUGUAGACUAACAGUGAAAUGCUUCAUAAGCAACAGGUGUAGACUAACAGUGAAAUGCUUCAUAAACAACAGGUGUAGACUAACAGUGAAAUGCUUCAUAAACAACAGGUGUAGACUAACAGUGAAAUGCUUCAUAAGCAACAGGUGUA